CUUUUAAAGAUAUAAAUGCUUCGCGUUUUUUCAUUCGUUCAAUUCUGUCGCCAAUUCCUAACCUACUCGAUGGAAAUGAAAGAAAUUUCGAGUAGGUUAGAAAUUGGCGACAGAAUUGAACGAAUGAAAAAACGCGAAGCAUUUAUAUCUUUAAAA
rnacentral:miRNA from 1 species